ACAGAAGUGGUUGGGCGUCGUGAGGAACGCAUCGGCGGCAGAACACUCAAGCGGCUGGUUGUUGAGAGCACGCCAGCUGAAGAGCACCCCUGCACACUGGCAGGCCAUCCACAGGUGUCAGAAACUCAGCUCAGCUGGAAGAAACUUGAUGUACCAGGUAUCAGAGUAGCAAGUAAAGCCACAAGCCAAAAAUGAAAGAGAAUCUUUUAAGUGCUUAUCGUGAUGGUGUAAGUAAUUGUCCAAAAGAAACGCCGAUUCCUUCUGUUCCAUUUUUACCUGUGGAUUGUGGAUUGAAAUAACCAUUGGACCAUGAGGAGAGACUCUGAAGAGAGGCUAGUGAUAUGUGAUAUAAUACUCUUUUGUGACGUUGGACCAUGGCAGUGAGCCGCAGCUCCCAGUCAGCAAUGCGAUCCCAAGAAUAAACAACCGAUUCUUGACAGUGUCCUAUGUUGCCAGUCGAUUUUGUUCAACAGUAGGUACAUGCAAGUACACCCCACUCCCAAAUUAAAAAGAUUGACCUUAGCCAAACAUAACACGAUGUGACAACUUUGAUUCCAACCACGUGUUUUAUAUUACAUCUACUACUGUGCUUCCUCCUCCUCAGAGGUUACUCAUCAAAAUUGAUUAAUCUUUUCUGAAAUGAUUUGAUACAAAUUUCCUUUAUCUCAUUUGAAUGUACUGUAUGGAGAUAUCAUCUAAACAGGUUAUUUUUUAAUAUAUAAAAUGACUUUUAAAAGAUUCAGUGUGUUUUAUUAUUGCAUUAAAAUUAUACAGAUGAUUUAGUGUAUUCCAACUAUUGCAUUUUCUAUGUGAAAUUUGUUUUAUAAUUUUAUGUAAAUAAAUGUACUUCAAUGUGAAACUGAUGUGAAGCUUCAAAAUCAUAGAUCUAGGGAGGGUGUAGAAAGUUGUAGUCUUUCUAGUUUUUUUCUCAAGUCUUAACCAAAAGAUCUCUUUACAGGAUAUUUUCCUUUGAAUAAGCAAUGUCAUUGUUAGCAAUAUUCAUUUUUAAUUUGCUAAAAAUGCAAAAAUAAAAUGCCA
rnacentral:lncRNA from 1 species